rnacentral:lncRNA from 1 species
GUUUUGUUUUUGUUUUUGUUUUUUUUCCUCCUAGUGCCACUGAUGUCUUCCCUUAGCCUCUCCUCUCCAGAAUUUUUCCAGGAGGGAAUCAGAUACUGGUACUUGUGUCUACCAAACUCCAGAGAACCCUAGCCAAGCCAUCCAACUAAUUUUCUUGAAUCUUCAUAUUUGGAUCAAGAGUUACUGGACGUUUAAAUUUGCAUAUAUGGUUGGCAUUAUAUUUCUAUUGGACAGCAUUGUUCUAUUUAAUUGCCUUAAAAAAAGGAGAUUUCGAGGAGGAGUCAAGAUGGCGGAGAAGUAACAGGCUGAGACUACUUCAGCUAGCAGGAGAUCAGCUAGAUAGCUUAUCUAAAGAUUGCAAACACCUGAAAAUCCAUCAGCAGAUUGAAGAGAAGAAGAACAGCAAUUCUGGAA